CAGUCGCCACGGUAAUACGUAGGGUGCAAGCGUUAAUCGGAAUUACUGGGCGUAAAGCGUGCGCAGGCGGUUAUAUAAGACAGAUGUGAAAUCCCCGGGCUCAACCUGGGAACUGCAUUUGUGACUGUAUAGCUAGAGUACGGCAGAGGGGGAUGGAAUUCCGCGUGUAGCAGUGAAAUGCGUAGAUAUGCGGAGGAACACCGAUGGCGAAGGCAAUCCCCUGGGACUGUACUGACGCUCAUGCACGAAAGCGUGGGGAGCAAACAGGAUUAGAUACCCCGGUAGUCCCUGUCUCUUAUAC
rnacentral:rRNA from 1 species